UACAUGCAGUCGAGCGGACAGAAGGGAGCUUGCUCCCGGAUGUUAGCGGCGGACGGGUGAGUAACACGUGGGUAACCUGCCUGUAAGACUGGGAUAACUCCGGGAAACCGGAGCUAAUACCGGAUAGUUCCUUGAACCGCAUGGUUCAAGGAUGAAAGACGGUUUCGGCUGUCACUUACAGAUGGACCCGCGGCGCAUUAGCUAGUUGGUGGGGUAAUGGCUCACCAAGGCGACGAUGCGUAGCCGACCUGAGAGGGUGAUCGGCCACACUGGGACUGAGACACGGCCCAGACUCCUACGGGAGGCAGCAGUAGGGAAUCUUCCGCAAUGGACGAAAGUCUGACGGAGCAACGCCGCGUGAGUGAUGAAGGUUUUCGGAUCGUAAAGCUCUGUUGUUAGGGAAGAACAAGUGCGAGAGUAACUGCUCGCACCUUGACGGUACCUAACCAGAAAGCCACGGCUAACUACGUGCCAGCAGCCGCGGUAAUACGUAGGUGGCAAGCGUUGUCCGGAAUUAUUGGGCGUAAAGGGCUCGCAGGCGGUUUCUUAAGUCUGAUGUGAAAGCCCCCGGCUCAACCGGGGAGGGUCAUUGGAAACUGGGAAACUUGAGUGCAGAAGAGGAGAGUGGAAUUCCACGUGUAGCGGUGAAAUGCGUAGAGAUGUGGAGGAACACCAGUGGCGAAGGCGACUCUCUGGUCUGUAACUGACGCUGAGGAGCGAAAGCGUGGGGAGCGAACAGGAUUAGAUACCCUGGUAGUCCACGCCGUAAACGAUGAGUGCUAAGGUGUUAGGGGGGUUUCCGCCCCUUAGUGCUGCAGCUAACGUCAUUAAGCACUCCGCCUGGGGGAGUACGGUCUCAUGACUGACACUCAAAGGACUUGAC
rnacentral:rRNA from 1 species